CUUCAGUUCCCUCAUCCUGUGGAGACACAGCGCGGAGUCAGAGGAGGGUAGUGGAUAAGGAAAAGGUGACCGGGUAGAGAUCCAGCCAGGAGGCGCUAACCUGCUUGUACUUCCGGUAACAACGUUGGAUCACAGCUGCGGCUACCUCCUGCUGCUCCUUCAACCUCCGGCCCUGAGGGAAGAAAAUGAAGCCUCCUCAUCUCAGCAUCUCACUGCCCACCUAGUAGACUUCCUCCUUCCUCCCGAGGUCCCCUCCUUAAAAAGUGUUGGUUUUUA